CCUUCCUCUUUCUUUUCCUCUUGGGUUUUUUUCUCUCCCUCCGAGGUAACAAUACCUCCUUUCAGGCACUGCCAAAGCCCUACUCAAGCCCACUCAGAUAAGAGCUGGCAGGAAAGGUAACUGCCAUCAAUAUUUGGGUGAAUGUUAACUACCUGAGGACAGACUGGGUGGGGGAUCACAACAGGCGGUUGCGAGCACCUGGGCUAUGUUCAAAAACACCACAUUUAAAGUCAUCUCCCUCCCCGGAUCCCCCUGAAUCCCCAAGUCAAGUCUCUCCAGCGUUAGUGGCUGUGUAAGACAGUGCUUAACCAAGUCGGGACUAAGCCAAGAGUCGUGCUCCAUGUGAAGGAGGGGUGGGCGCUGCCGCGGUCGCUGGCCCAUAGGAAACCGGUGACCCAGGGACAUCUGCAAGCCAUUAGGACACAGACUUCAGGUAGCUCCCAGAAACACGUGCUGUCCACAUUACACCCUCCAAGGAUAUUUCCACAACUUUACUUCUCCAAAUAAACAGUCGGGCUCUCCCUGCAUUAGCAAGGAGCUGCACAAACAGG